GUCGUCUCCGUGCCUGUCUGUCCUGGGACGCCCAACACCGGAGCGCACUGCUCACGUGAGAGGUGGGGGUGGAGACCCCUCCCCACUUCCUCUUUCCCCACGCUGUCACCAUGCCCCCCAACUCUGGGGGGCUCCGGAGAGGCCCAAGAUGGGGGUUUCACUAGAGGGUCACUCCUACUGGUCCCACACAUGCCCGUCCACGACCCUCGGGGGCUCGUCCGAGGAAGGGAGCAGCGCAGAGACAAGGUGCAAAGGUGGCUUCUUGGAAAGGCAGGACCGCCCCAUCCGGGGUCUGCAGAUCGGGGAGGGUCCCACCGGGAUCCCUCGCUCCUCAAUGCACCGGCAAGGGCCCUGGCCCCAGCGCCAUCCAGUGGAGAACUGUCCCAGCCCCCUGUGGGACAGGCUCUAUCGCUCUGUGCUGCCUGGUGGGGCGCUCGGCAAGCACAUCGGGCGGCAGUGGGCACCGCCCUCCUCCAACAAGAUGGCGUGGUUUGCCGCAUGAAUCGUCCAGGGGUCCCCCCAAAAGUGGUCCCAACCCCGAGGGAACUGAGAGGAGGCUCUCCUGCCCUUGGCUGACUCCUCCCUGCCCUCCUCUCUUUCCCAGAAGGCCCUGGGGCCCAGCUGUGACCCCGGCACCCCUGGCCAGAUGUGGGCCUGCUCCAGGCCCCCCUGGGAUCGUCUCAAUCUGCUGCAUCAGCACUGCUCAGGCUUUGGCUGAGCAGGACCUGGAGAGCGGAGGGAGCACCCCGUAGGCCUUUCGGGGCUCCUGUAGAAUCAGGACAGCAGGCCUUGGGUUAGACCCAGUGAUGCCGGAUCCCCGAUUCUGUGCUCACUGCCUGGCCCUCCCCAGCAUUCCAUCUGAGCUGCCACUUCACAUAACACGGGCUGGUGAGAGCUGUGUUCCCGAUCCCUGGCUGGGGACACUCCCCGACCCCCCCGCCCCUCCGCCGCGUACCCUCGGCCACGGCCAUGGCCUACCCUCGGCCUCUAACCUCUAACCCAGUCCUUCUUGCCAAGUGUUGAUCUCCCCGUACGUCAAAGGAGGACGUUUACCCUGACACCUUCACACUCCCAGUAUCAGCCUGGGAUUUGGGGUGCACUGCGGGCCGGCCAGGCCGGAUAAAUAUGUGGUCUGGCUGUGGUCUGCCUUCCCACUGUGGGGCAUCUCAGGGGCUUUCCGAGGCUGGGGGUGGGAAGGUGCCAGCCCCCUGCUUCGGUCCUGCAGUCGUGACCCCAGAGCCAGCGUGGCCACUGCAGCUUGCCUCUCCCUUCUAGCUCUUUCCCACAGAACAUCCUGGCUUCAGGAAUUCUCAUCGUCCGGGCCAGAGUUCAUCGGAAGUUUCCCCAUCCACCCCCUCUCCCAGCCCCUGGAGGGAAGCAAGGAGAGAGAGGGUCAUGCAGCUGAGCUGGAUGAGAAGAAAGCUGGGCUGCACUGGCCAGCGAGCGGCUUGGGGCAGAACGACUGCGCAGGUUCUCCUGCCAGAGAGUUUGAGGAUAUGGCCGUGCUGGGCUCCAGGGGGGCUCCCUCCAUGCAAAAGCAACUCUCCGGUCUCAAUCAUGCCAAGUGCCACCUGCCACCUGCCACCUGCCACCAACAAGGUGGGGACAUGGUUCCUGGGCUGGGACGAGGUGUGGUGCCCAGGAUGAGAUCAAUGACCCUGUUUCUAGAUAAUCAAAGGACAGACCCCAGAAACGACCAUGUCAGCGGCCAAGAGUCACAGCUUGGGCUUCAGAGCAGGAAGAACUGGGUUUGAGUCCAACUCAAUUACUUACUGGCUGACCUUGGGGACUGACUACAGUGCACCUGAGCACAGGUGCCAGGAGGAAGGGAGAAGUUACCCACAGGUUCCCAUGCCCCCUUUGGUCAAAGUUUCAUCCUCCAGUGAAUGACCGUCCCAGAUUGCACAGAAGCUGAGUGGUCCUUCAGCACCUCAGGCCUGGCGGGAAGGAAGAACUUGGGGUGUUGGCCCCUGGCCAGGUUUGGCGGGGUGAACCUCCCCUCCCCGCCCAGGCCGGCCCUCCACAUGGGCCAGGGGCAUCUGAGAUGGGGCAUCAUCGGACGUGAAGCCCCAACCUGAGGUUGCUGGGUAAGCUGCGAUUCUCUAAGGAAAGCCCUUGUUUGGGGAGGGGACACACAACCCUGAAGCUUUCAGGGAGAAAGAAGCAUCACGUCUGCAACUUACCCUGGAAUGGCCGAGGAAGGAGCAAGGAGCCAGGCAGGAAGAGAAACAGUAACACAAACUGGCAACAAGUUGCCUUUGGGGGGUGUCCGGGUGAAGGUAUCUGGAAAUUGUUUGUAGUACUUUUGCAACUUUUCUGUCAGCCUGAAAUAAUUUCAAAAUAAAAA